rnacentral:rRNA from 1 species
UACGUAGGGUGCGAGCGUUGUCCGGAAUUAUUGGGCGUAAAGAGCUCGUAGGCGGUUUGUUGCGUCGGCUGUGAAAACCUGAGGCUCAACCUCAGGCCUGCAGUCGAUACGGGCAAACUAGAGUAUUGCAGGGGAGACUGGAAUUCCUGGUGUAGCGGUGAAAUGCGCAGAUAUCAGGAGGAACACCGGUGGCGAAGGCGGCAUCCUGGACCGGCAUUGACGCGUGAGGAG